CACACAAAAAAAACCCGCACAAACACCUCUCGUAUCGAUCCCCUCGAGGAGAAGCCGUCGCCCCCAUCUCCCGUUCCGCCGCCGCCGCCCCCGUGCUCCCUGUUGGUUUUCGUCCAGUGCUCCCUGUUGGUUUUCCCCCUCCGCAUCGCUGGAUCCAACUCCUCCCUCUCCCUCGGUCUUGCCUCUCCUCGAUGUCGCUCGGUCCUCUCGGGGUUCGCCACCCGCCGUCGUACCCCGCCGCCGUGCUCCGCUGUUGCCCCUCCCUCCGCCUGCCUCGCCCCUGCUCUAGGGUUCGCCAGCCGCCGCCGGCCCCCGCCGCCCUGCUCCGCUGUUGCCCGUCCCUCCGCCUGCCUCGCCCCCCUCCCCUACACUCACCCCUGCCCGAUCUGGAUCUGGAUGAGGCGUUGCCUCCCGUUCCUCUCAUCACGUCCCUUGUGCCAACCAUGGAAGAGGGGAGGAAGAAGUAGAAGCUUCUCUGUAGAAUCAGCCGAUCGAGCGGGGCUCUUGAUCUUGGCUAGCGAGAAUUCGGCAGAUCUCGUCGAUGCUGUAGGGCCUGGCCCGUUCCAUGUCUCUGGGAAAGGAGAGGAAGGUGGAGGAGGAGCACCAGGGGACGAUGCUGCAGUCGUCGGGGACGCUCUGGGGCGAGGGCUCCGAGACGUCGCCGCCACCUGCGCUGAACCCCAGGGCAGGGUGCGACGAGCCUAGCAAGGAGUACUUGCCGGCCGUACACAGGUGGGCUCCACUGUGGCCUUUAGCCACUCUGCCUGCAAGCUCGACGCCAUAGUUUGACAGGGCCAAGGUGGUAGUAGACGAUGACGAAUAUGGCGCCCUGGCUGUCUCUGUUCAUGAGAUUCCUCUAUGGUGGUUGUUGCUUGUGUCGUUCCUGUUACUGGAGGUGGGCUCCACUGUGGCCUUUAGCCACUCUGCCUGCAAGCUCGACGCCAUAGUUUGACAGGGCCAAGGUGGUAGUAGACGAUGACGAAUAUGGCGCCCUGGCUGUCUCUGUUCAUGAGAUUCCUCUAUGGUGGCCGAAUUUGUAUCACACCAGGCUGCUCCCCUCGUAUUGCAAAUCAGAGCUAGCUUAUAUUCAUCCAUAGGUCAUGGCUGACUCCAAAGGCAACACUCCUCCAGUCCUCCUGUGCGUGAUGGCAAAGCUAUGCUACAUGAUAUUAUCAGCUAUGAGAUAUUAUUUGAAGAACCAUGCAAAGCAAUUUGAGAUGAUGCAUAUAAAGCAUCUUGGAUUUAUUAAGUGUUUUUAAGUAUUCAAUUUAUUAAGAGUUCACUCAUCAUUGCCGACCGUACACAGGUAUUCUGAACCUUACCAUCCGAUUUUCAGAAUAAGAGUUGUCUGUAGAAUUCAUGGUGGUUAAAACAACAACAUCUGUAGAAUUCCCCUUUGUCCAUGUUGUACCUACAAUUUACUACUAUAUCUGUACUGCUACUUCAUUUGAAUUUUGUAACCAAAAGAAAUGCAGGCGAGCGAUUCAGGGUUAUUGUUCGAAUUGGCUAUAAUAUGUGGGGGUUAUUGUUCGAAGUGGCUAUAAAAUGUGGCUCUAGAGGUGCUGGAGCUGCAAACUUGCCGAGGCCAGCAUAAGAAGUGAUGGAGUUAUCUUCUACUUUUAUUUGUUCAUGUUGUCUCAACAAAUUGACUUGUGUUUAUGGCGACUUUUUUAUGUGUCCAUGGAUCAGAGAGGAUGGAUGAUGCAGUGGCCACAUCAAGCGCCCUAUGCUCGACGACAAUGGAAAUGCAGUUUCUCAGAGCUAGCAGGAAGGAGGCUGAUGGCUUCCCGUUGUAGUAACGCGAUGGAGAAGAGACAAGACACCAGGCUUGUAAACAACUACAAUGAUAUUACACAUCACUUUCUGUACUACAUUUAUGUGCAUUCGGAUCUCGCCAAGGCUAAGAAAUCUGCCUCGUAGCCCCAACUAAUGCAUCAACUUGGAACCAAGGUCCACCCUCUAAUAAUCAGCAUAUAUGCCGCAUGUGUCAGACUCAUGGGGGUCAAACAGAUGAGGAGAAGGAAGCAGCAAGGAAGAAGGUAGAGGAGAUGGAUACCUGAUCUGCAAGUUCCUGAAUUUCAACAUUUAUUGCGUGUUGCUGUGUUAAUAUUGGGUGCAGCAAUUUCACAACUCUGGGAAAAGCUUCUGCUGGAGGACAUCACCUGCGGCAUCACCUGCAUCGACCUCUCGCUGAUUACCAUCCCAAGGAUGCGCGACCGACUGGCGGAGCAGGGCACCAGUGAUAAGUUCACCGAUUUGGUCGACUCACCGUUCCCUUCCUCUGUCCACGCAAUGCCGCUCGUUGUUGUUAGGUUGUUAAUUCAUCAAGCCCCUUAUUGCGCUACAUAGUUUGUUCAUCUCGCAUGCCUUCUUAGGAGAAAUCAUGUAAUGAAGAUAAGCUAUUCUUGAUUUACAUUUUAUUUAUUUCUUCCUGCUACUUGUAUGAUUUGCUUUGGAAAUCUUCUGACUACUUGCACGAAUUUUAGAACCUACUUGUACAGUUGCCUGCAUUUUGUGUUUGAGAAACAUCUGCUGAUUAAGUGUAAAAUAAUACUUGCAAGUUCUGUUUGUUGACUGCGCCAUGAUAAGCUUUAGGCCUUCAGCUGUACAAAACUGCUAAAGUAGGUGACAACCACCUGCAGCUCAAUCCUUGUUUUUCUCAACAUUGACAAGGUAAAGUAAAUGGGGAGCCAAGAUCGAUUGUUGUAAGCCUUUUACUGACUAUGAGCAAGGGGAUCUAGAGAGGAGCACUGCAAUAUGAGAAUGCCCUUCAUUAGCUCUGAUUUUCCCUUUUUGUAAUACUAGCUUAGAGGGAUUUCUGAAACGAGUAGAAGAUUAAUAACUUCUACGACAUCAAAGAUCUCUGAGCUUUUAGAGUAUGCAGCUUAUUGAUUUACUUAUCGAUUUAUUCACACUCUAUCAGGUUUCUCUUGAACGUGAUGCUUUAUUUAUUGUACUGAACAGUGGAAGCUAACUGUUUCUUUAUACAGAAUUAGCCUGCACCAUUUUUGUGCUUCCACCUUCCAAACUACAAGGUCUGCAACCUUAGAUGAACAACUACAGCUAUAUUUGCCCAAGGAUGAUUUGAUUGUGCAAGGAAUCCAAAGCGAUGCAUAAAGUGAUGCAUAAAGUGGGAGUUUGCAGGGAAUCCAAAGCGAUGCAUAAAGUGGGAUAUUUUUCUUUUAAUUUAUGCACUCAUGAAAUGGGAAAGAACUAAAUCAACCAAUUUGCAGGGUGAGUAUUCAUUGUUUCAGAAUUUUAUAUUCUUGCAUGUUAAAACUCCAAGAUGGUUGCGAGCUAAGGAAGUGAUUUUUGGUGCAACUUCUCGUCCGUUCCUGCUAGCGGCAAGGCAAACCCUAGCGCGCCUCCUCCAGCCUCCCCCCUCCUCUCUUGCUCGCGUCGGUGGCGGCGGGGUAUCUUGCCCUUCCACAUGGUGGUCCAGUGCGGACAGCGACUCGGAGCGGAGGCGAGCAGUUCUGUAGGACAGUGCGGCGUUGCGGCGGCCGGGGUAGCACGACGAUGGCGUCCUGGGUUGGUGGCGCGGGCGGCUUCUCAUCGGGGGCGUGGUGGGGCGUGCCUACGCGGGUGGCGGCUGUGGGUGUCCUGGCCAGAUCUGGAUCGGGCGGGUGCUCUGGCCGGGGCCUAGCAGGCGGCAAGGGCCAGCUGGCAGCGCGCGGGGGCUGGUGUUCACGGUUGAGGACUCCGGUUGCUCUUAUAGUACUAGGGGUAGUGUUGCUGUGCUCAACGCCUAUGUAUCCAGCCUUGGUGUGUGCGUGUGUUAUGGUGACGUGCGUUUGUAUCUGAGUUGUGGUCGGUCAUUGCUUUAUAUAUAAAGCGGGACGAAAGCCUUUUUCGGUAACAACUUAUGUUUUUUUUA